rnacentral:lncRNA from 1 species
GUGUGACCAUAUGGCUGGAGGAGGCUGGAAUUGUUUAUUUCCUUUGUUCCACAGGAAGACUAGAGCCAGCUGGAGUUGGUAAUUUUACUUCCUCCAAGUUCGUUAGGCACUGAUGAAACCCCAGCAGUUUAGGUUCUGGUUAAAUAGUUUCUCCUGAGGGCAGACUUUGUUAAGAAGAAUACAAUGCUCUGGCAUAUUUCAAAAUGGCACUUUUCCCUCCCUUGCUGUAAGCAUGGGGGCAUUUUUAAAAAUCUGCUAUUUGCUUUGAUAAACUGGUGGAGCUCUAGCAGGUAAAACUCGCAAAAGUAGGGGGCCCCUCAAUAACUGAAUCCCUCUGAAGUUUCAAACUCUCUGACUUGUCCACAUUGAGCUUCCAGCAAUUUGUUAAUUACAGUUCAGGUUUUUCCAGUUUGGCACUGGUUCCCUUGGAGGUUUCUGCUCAUGGGUUUCUGCUCUGCAGGUGAAAAUAUUGUGCCACUUCCUUAUAACCUCCAAAGUGUCUGAUGUGAAAUUGCUGUCAUUAGCAUGGAUUAUUUUCCCCCUAUAGUCAAAAGACACCGAAGGUCGUCGACACAGCAUCCAAAAAUGCUUCCUGGGGAAGAUGGACCAAGACGCUGCCGCGACAGGCUCCAAGAGGAAGAGUGGUAGCAGGCUAUAACACAGAGGAUAAUCUUGUCUCCAAAAGAGCCAUUGCCAGGGCCAUUGUCCUGAAAACGCACAAAAUGCAGCAUGUCUGAACUGGAAGAACGUUUAGAGCUUUUUCAGUCCAACUUCUCAGAUUGGAAGUGGAACCUCAGACAAGUGUUUGGGCCAAUAAUUCAACGCAGUGUAGCAGAUAAAGGACACGAACCGAGGUUUCCAGUCCUCGGUCUUGUGAUUCCACUAAACUACUCCUAAUUGAAGAAGAGAUGGAGAGAUUAUAAAGGAUUCAUCUGCUGCUUUACAUCGACUCUGACAAUCCAACACUAAAUUGUUUCUCUGUGUAGCAGAUGCUGUUGGCACCUCACCGAGAUUUCUUCAGCACUCACAGUUCCCACGCUCUGUGCUGCUGGCUUCCUCUGGGAAGUGUCUACAACUCUUGGCCUGAGGGCUUUCAGGAGAUGCCUCUAGGAGAGGCUCUCAGCCAAUGAUGGAUAGAGAUGUUGUGCUUUAGAGUGGGACAAUUCUGAGAUGAGUUUGACACCAUCUCCCGGAUGCCCCGGGGGGACUGAGCCCCAGGUGCUUACAGCAGCAACCUGCCCAUCAAUGCAUGCUCUUUGGGCUUCAUUCUCUUUGCUGUCUCACUUCCAUACUCCCCGAGGUAGGCAGAAUAACCCCCAAAGAUGACCCUACCCUAGUCUCCAGGACUUCUGAGUCUGUUAGCUUACAUGGCAAAAGGGACUUCGAAGAUGUGAUUAAGGUUAUGGAACUUGAGACAGGGAUAUUGGAUUAUCUAGGUGGGCCCAAUCUACUGUCAUGGGUCUUGGGAAGCUGAGAAUCUUUUCUGGCUGGUGAGAGAGAUGACGGAAAAAGGGUGAGAGAGAUGCAAUGUUGUUGGCUUUGAUGAUGGAGGAAGGGGGCCAUGAGCCAGGGGAUGCAGGUGGCCUUGAGAGGCUGGAAAAGGCAAGGGCUGCCUACUCCUUCAUCCUAUCUCAGUGAGGUCAACAUUGGAUUUCUGAUCUAAGAACUGUAAAUUAAUAAAUGUGUCUUGUUUUAAGCCAGCAAAUGUGUGAUGUUUUGGCAACAAUAGAAAUUUAAUUCACUCCUCUCUUCAUUUUGGAAUUACCUGUGAAAUAAACCGUUUAUAUUCAAAGC